AAUGAAAGCUGGUGCCCAAAGGGAGAGAUUGUGUGUCUGGAACACCAUGAGAGAAAAAGACAGAGAGGAAAUGGAACAUGGCCCCCAAAACCCAGAAUGAGAGCACAACUACAAAGAGGAAACUAUAUCUUAUGUGAAUUUACCAAAAAUCAUUCCCAAGAGAGACUUUCCAGGAAAUGCCGAAAGUGGAUGUCAGCAAAACUUCAAAGUGUGACUGCAGUUUCAGAAAGAAUCUGUGCAUGAAGCCAAGAAUCACUGGUCCAAAGCAGCAUGGCUGUUCACAGAAUGAGGGAAAGUGCCGUGGAACAGGAGGACGGGGCUCUCAACCCUUCGCUCUGACCAGGUCUUGCUUGGGGCUUGAUCUAUGUGUGUGGCUGUCGUCCUCAAGCUUUGGAAAAAUGACAUUUUUUCUUACUAUACUGGAUGAAUGCUAAAGAGUUUCAGGAAAAAAAUAAUCAGGCAUG